GACGAACGCUGGCGGCGUGCUUAACACAUGCAAGUCGAACGGUAAGGCUCUAGCUUGCUGGGGUACACGAGUGGCGAACGGGUGAGUAACACGUGGGUGACCUGCCCUGCACUUCGGGAUAAGCCUGGGAAACUGGGUCUAAUACCGGAUAGGACCGCACCGUGAGGGUGUGGUGGAAAGUUUUUUCGGUGUGGGAUGGGCCCGCGGCCUAUCAGCUUGUUGGUGGGGUAAUGGCCUACCAAGGCGGCGACGGGUAGCCGGCCUGAGAGGGUGGACGGCCACAUUGGGACUGAGACACGGCCCAGACUCCUACGGGAGGCAGCAGUGGGGAAUAUUGCACAAUGGGCGGAAGCCUGAUGCAGCGACGCCGCGUGGGGGAUGACGGCCUUCGGGUUGUAAACUCCUUUCACCAUCGACGAAGGGUUUCUGACGGUAGAUGGAGAAGAAGCACCGGCUAACUACGUGCCAGCAGCCGCGGUAAUACGUAGGGUGCGAGCGUUGUCCGGAAUUACUGGGCGUAAAGAGCUCGUAGGUGGUUUGUCGCGUCGUCUGUGAAUUCCGGGGCUUAACUCCGGGCGUGCAGGCGAUACGGGCAUAACUUGAGUACUGUAGGGGAGACUGGAAUUCCUGGUGUAGCGGUGAAAUGCGCAGAUAUCAGGAGGAACACCGGUGGCGAAGGCGGGUCUCUGGGCAGUAACUGACGCUGAGGAGCGAAAGCAUGGGGAGCGAACAGGAUUAGAUACCCUGGUAGUCCAUGCCGUAAACGGUGGGCGCUAGGUGUGGGUUUCCUUCCACGGGAUCCGUGCCGUAGCUAACGCAUUAAGCGCCCCGCCUGGGGAGUACGGCCGCAAGGCUAAAACUCAAAGGAAUUGACGGGGGCCCGCACAAGCGGCGGAGCAUGUGGAUUAAUUCGAUGCAACGCGAAGAACCUUACCUGGGCUUGACAUAUACAAGAUCACGCCAGGGAUGGUGUUUCCCUUGUGGCUUGUAUACAGGUGGUGCAUGGUUGUCGUCAGCUCGUGUCGUGAGAUGUUGGGUUAAGUCCCGCAACGAGCGCAACCCUUGUCUUAUGUUGCCAGCACGUUGUGGUGGGGACUCGUAAGAAACUGCCGGGGUUAACUCGGAGGAAGGUGGGGAUGACGUCAAAUCAUCAUGCCCCUUAUGUCCAGGGCUUCACACAUGCUACAAUGGUCGGUACAGUGGGUUGCCAGUCCGUGAGGGCGAGCUAAUCCCGCAAAGCCGGUCUCAGUUCGGAUCGGGGUCUGCAACUCGACCCCGUGAAGUCGGAGUCGCUAGUAAUCGCAGAUCAGCAACGCUGCGGUGAAUACGUUCCCGGGCCU
rnacentral:rRNA from 1 species